rnacentral:rRNA from 1 species
ACGGAGGGUCCAAGCGUUAUCCGGAUUUAUUGGGUUUAAAGGGUGCGCAGGCGGAAUAAUAAGUCAGUGGUGAAAUCUCUCGGCUCAACCGAGAAACUGCCAUUGAUACUGUUAUUCUUGAGUAUAGUUGUAGUGGGCGGAAUAUAGCAUGUAGCGGUGAAAUGCUUAGAUAUGCUAUAGAACACCGAUCGCGAAGGCAGCUCACUAAACUAUAACUGACGCUCAGGCACGAAAGCGUGGGGAGCAAACAGG